AUCUCGUCAUCGGAUGAUUACCGCUGCUCCGGCGCGAAGCGGACAGGCCUCCCAGUGGCUGCAGCGGCGUGACCUUCGGAAGAGCGAGGGUGGAGAAGUCCUGAGGCCCAAAUGGGGCUGUCCUUCCAGUCCGUAGCCUCCCAUCGCUGCUCCUUCUGGACUAUAGGGGGCGCCUUGACCUUUGCCAGACAAAGAAAAGGAUGGUAAGACCGGUGUCCUGGGAGAGCUGCUUUUUCUGCUCUUCGGAGGGGUACGGAUGCUGGGAGAGGACAAAAAGAACCAUGUCAGUAUGUCGUACAGUAUAUUCUAUACUCACUGGUCACACUCACGGGUUUAGAGUGUGAGGGGAAAAUGCUGACAACGGGUGACUUCUGAUGUCGGUACUGCUCGUCGUCUUUCACCGUCGAGCACACAACACGACCCGGCACCCAUCAACACGCUAAUGAUGCAAUUAAAAUAUACCUCCAUCCUCAGCAAAGCACCAUGGGAAAUUACAAUAGGAAAGUGCGUGCGGGAUGCAGGCUGAGAGAAGCCGGGGGAAAACUGCUUAAUCCGCAUGCAUCAGUAGCUGCGCGUGCGUCUGCGCAGUUCUCUCUGGUGGCACAGUGCUAAGGAACACAUGGAGGAGAUGAAACGCAGUGGUGAAAAUUCUCUAAUACACUUUACUGCUGGGCCUUAAGACAAUGUAUGCAGGGGCAAGAAAAAACCUCUCCCUAUAUUUCUCUCUUCUUCUUCUCCCCCACACCUUUUUCCCUCCUCCCUCUUUUCUCUUCUCUUCUCUCUCUCUCUCUCUCUCUCCCACUCUGGGGCGAUGAGGCAGUACCUUCGGUAAUUAGGAUCCUUUCAGGAAGUCAUUAAAACCGUUCCAAUUAUCUGCUAAUUAACACAUACUUGUUACAAUUCCAGUCAUGACUUAAGUGUUC